rnacentral:rRNA from 1 species
GACGAACGCUGGCGGCGUGCUUAACACAUGCAAGUCGAACGGAAAGGCCCUGCUUUUGUGGUGUGCUCGAGUGGCGAACGGGUGAGUAACACGUGAGUAACCUGCCCUUGACUUUGGGAUAACUUCAGGAAACUGGGGCUAAUACCGUAUAGGAUCUGCUGCUGCAUUGUGGGGGUGGGAAAGUUUCGGCGGUUGGGGAUGGACUCGCGGCUUAUCAGCUUGUUGGUGGGGUAGUGGCUUACCAAGGCUUUGACGGGUAGCCGGCCUGAGAGGGUGACCGGCCACAUUGGGACUGAGAUACGGACCAGACUCCUACGGGAGGCAGCAGUGGGGAAUAUUGCACAAUGGGCGGAAGCCUGAUGAAGCAACGCCGCGUGCGGGAUGACGGCCUUCGGGUUGUAAACCGCUUUCGCCUGUGACGAAGCGUGAGUGACGGUAAUGGGUAAAGAAGCACCGGCCAACUACGUG